GGAUGUGACGGCAAUGUGACUAUGAUGUUUUUCCCCUGAUUGACUGCCAGGGUUGGUUUGAUUCAUCUGGUUGGUGAGGUGGGUGUCCUCUUCUUCCCUCACUGCUCCAUGUGCGUCCCUCCCAAAGCUGUGUGCUCGGCUGAAGAGUAUGACCUCCACUGAUAGAGAACCCUUCUUUAUCAGGGGUGCAUGAGAAGCUGCACUCUCUUGCUAGGCCCUCCAAAUAAGCUGUCAAGGUGCUUUUGUAGGGGAAUGUACAGUAAUCAAGCUUGGAAGACUCCAAGCAGACCCGGAUGAGGUGCUGCAUGUGGCAGCCUGGCUUCUUUG
ensembl:misc_RNA 7SK 7SK RNA